rnacentral:rRNA from 1 species
UACGAAGGGUGCAAACGUUGCUCGGAAUCAUUGGGCGUAAAGCGCACGUAGGCGGCUUUGCAAGUCUGACGUGAAAUCCCUCAGCUCAACUGAGGAAGCGCAUCGGAAACUGCAAGGCUUGAGUACUGAAGAGGAUCGCGGAAUUCCCGGUGUAGAGGUGAAAUUCGUAGAUAUCGGGAGGAACGCCGGUGGCGAAGGCGGUUCUCUGGGCCUUACCUGACACUGAGGAGCGAAAGCGUGGGGAGCGAACAGG